rnacentral:tRNA from 1 species
GCCCUUGUAGCUCAAUGGUAGAGCAGCUGUUUCGUAAACAGCCGACGCCGGUUCGAUCCCGGACUGGGGCUCCA